UUCUGUCAGAGGACUGACCAUUCCUCUGCAUACCCAGUGUGACCGGGCAUACAGCAGCACCUCUGCACUCCCCUCCAUCAGCGCUGGAGUGGAACUAAGGAUCUCCAAAGGGUAGACCCAGAAGGGACUGGCUGUCGCUUAAUGCUAAUUGCUGCCCAGUGGGUGGCCCGGCCUGCGGGGACUUCCAGCUCCAGCGGAAUCUGAUUAGCGGCUAUUUUAAGAAGGCAUGAGAAAAGCAUGAGAAAGCGUGCUUUGUGCCUAAGGAGAGAGUCAGGGCAGCCCCCUUCCCCUGCUGUAUCUGGCAAGGACAGCGGUGCCUACACAAGGUGACUGAGCGCUCACCAAGAGGCAGAGCUUUCAAACCUAAGACGGGAGCGGAGCUGGAGAAGGUCCCCUUCUCCACCCCUUUCCACCCAUGGAGCUGAAUUCAUCCAUCCCCAAGACAAAGUCUCAAUAAAUCACUAAAUUUCCCAGCCUGGGCUCAUGGAAUUUGAGAUCCUCCUGCCUCGGACUCUGGAGUGCUGGGAUUAUAGGUGUGGGCCACCAGGACCAGCUCAGAAGUCAUCAGAUUUUUAACCAAAUUUUAGAUAGACGACUACAUUGUUUCAUGAUGGAAAGAAACCAAGAUCUUCUACCGAGAUAUGCUGUAAGCCAAGGAAAAUGUGGCUGAGUUAGUAGCUGUCUCCGAGGGUUGCUGAGAGGAGUGAAGAGGUUCCUGACAGAGCCAGGCGUCACUUGUCGAACAGCACCUGAAUGGGGGAGUGAGGAUGAAGAAAAAGAUGCAGAGAUAGAGUCAGGAGCCUCUCCGAGAGACUGCCUGUGCUUUUUUAUUAGCAGCUCAGUGCCCCCGAACUGGUGAGCUGCCCUUGACCUCUGGUUUGAGACUGCCUGUGCUUUUUAUUCUCCUCCCUUU